UAACUGAAGAGUUUGAUCAUGGCUCAGAUUGAACGCUGGCGGCAGGCUUAACACAUGCAAGUCGAGCGGGGGAAGGUAGCUUGCUACCGGACCUAGCGGCGGACGGGUGAGUAAUGCUUAGGAAUCUGCCUAUUAGUGGGGGACAACAUCUCGAAAGGGAUGCUAAUACCGCAUACGUCCUACGGGAGAAAGCAGGGGAUCUUCGGACCUUGCGCUAAUAGAUGAGCCUAAGUCGGAUUAGCUAGUUGGUGGGGUAAAGGCCUACCAAGGCGACGAUCUGUAGCGGGUCUGAGAGGAUGAUCCGCCACACUGGGACU
rnacentral:rRNA from 1 species